UAUUGUUACUGAAAUUAUUCCCAGGUAUGGCUGCCCUCUGCAGAUUGGCUCUGAUAAUGGCCCGGUUUUUGCAAGUGGGGUUGCCCAGGAACUUGCUAAAUUCUUGCAAGUUACCUGGCAGUUUCAUAUACCCUAUCAUCCACAGAAUACAGGGGUAGUUGAAAGGAUGAAAAGGACUAUUAAGGAAAAGCCCAGAAUUUACCCAGGAACAUGGGUAAAUUGGACUAGAUAUCUACCAGCUAUUUUAGCUGAGAUAAGAAUGAAUCCCCACAAGGUGACUAAAUUAUCUCCAUCUGAGAUUUUUGAUGGGAUGACCUUUUCCCACACCCUGGGCCAGGGAACCGCUUGUUAUAAUGUCUGGGGAUUUACAGCUAAUACAAGAACAAUAUGUACAGGAGUUGUUGAUAAAACCGAAUGGUAUGUAUGACAAUGUUUCUUCGCAGUUUUCCCUUACCUUCACAGGAACCUACUCAUUCAUACCAGCCCGGUGACAAGGUGUAUAUCCGUCAGCUGAACAGGACCAAGAAAGGAGGAUACCCUUUUGGACCACCUGCUACUGUGAUUGCUGUAACCAGAACCGCUGUCCUCACAGAUUCCCAUGACAUCUGGAUUCACGCAUCCCGAGUGAAGCUGUGUCCAAAGAGGGGAACCAAGAAAGACAACACCACUCCUCGCUCGGAAACAGAAGAAUUUCUCCUCAGCGAAGCAUCAUGGUUUUCACACCAUAUCGUAGAUUGAGAGGAUCAUACGUACCUGAGACCAAGAUUAUGUUGUGCGCUAUGCUUUCUGGAGUUGUUAUACUCCCUCUGAUAUUGUUCCUUGAAUGCCAUUAUGAGUACAAGUCAAUGGCAAGUUUGAAACCUGUCUGUUUCUGGAAAAAGACUCUGACAUGAUGAACAAUUCUUCAAUACCCCCAGCCCAAUUAGGCCUUAGCCCCUCAUCUAGCAUUCGUCACACAUG